GCGUUAAAGUGUUUAUUGCAGAUACAAGAGCGGGCAGAACCAUCUGACGGACUUCAUAGGAAUUGAACCGUCGAAGAAACGCAAACGGAGGACCUCUUUCACUCCGCAAGCCUUGGAACUACUCAACGCGCAUUUCGAGCGAAACACUCAUCCAUCAGGAACCGAGAUCACAGGAUUAGCCCAUCAGCUCGGGUACGAGCGAGAGGUGAUCAGGAUAUGGUUUUGCAACAAGAGGCAGGCCCUCAAGAACACAGUGCGCAUGAUGUCCAAAGGGAUGGUGUAAAUAAGUGCACAUCAAACCAUCUAAAGAGAACAACAACAACAACAAAAUAAACAGAAAACGCCAUGAAUGAAUACAUGCAAAAAAAGUUCUGUGAUUUAAAAGAAAGAAAUUUUUUUUGUGUGUACCAACUAUUGACUAUUGUGGAAAACCGAACACGGAAUUUGAUGAGUGCAUAAACGUUACUAAAAA